rnacentral:rRNA from 1 species
AAACUGCCGAUGAUAAGUCGGAGGAAGGUGUGGAUGACGUCAAGUCCUCAUGGCCUUACGGGUUGGGCUACACACGUGCUACAAUGGUAGUGACAAUGGGUUAAUCCCAAAAAGCUAUCUCAGUUCGGAUUGGGGUCUGCAACUCGACCCCAUGAAGUUGGAAUCGCUAGUAAUCGCGGAACAGCGUGCCGCGGUGAAUACGUUCCCGGGCCUUGUACACACCGCCCGUCACACCAUGGGAGUUGGUUCUACCCGACGGCCGUGCGCUAACCUUACGGGAGGCAGCGGACCACGGUAGGAUCAGCGA